CUUUUUUGUACAUCUAUUUUAUAUAUCAUUCCUAGUUUCUCAUCUAUUCUUUCUUCAUCUUUUUUUGUGACUUCCUAAGACAUAAUGCCUCUUUCAACUUCUAGGUAGAAGAGGUAGAGAUAGGCUUUCAGGGGAGCCUAUCUCCCAUCUUAGACGUGUUCACGAAUGUAACGUGGCGCUUCUAUUCUUGAUCUCAUUAGAAUCAAAAUUAAAAUCGAUCAUGUGACGUGAAUUGAAUGUUGCCAGCUUUAGCAAGUGGGAUAGCGCUGAAGCUUAUUGAAAAAGUAUACUAAAAUAUUCACGAAAAGUUGGACUGAAUUCAUAUCAAGAUUGAAAUGUUAAUCUGCAAAUCGAGCAGGAUAGAUUGCAUGGACAUCAGUAUGAGACAAAACAGAAGGCUUUAGCUCUGACGCUGUAUAAAACGAUAGGGAAGCGAACACACACGUAUUUACGAGAAGUUUUUUCUGAUAUUCUAUGCAUACGAACUUUACAAUCGAUGCUUCCAAACUUUAAAAUUGAUGCUACCCCGGAUUUGAAUUCUUUGAUUUUGCAACAUUUGAAGAACAUGUCUCGAAACAUAUUAAACAAAGGCUGCGUUCCAAGCUCUUAACGCUUGCAAUAUGCACGAGCAUUUAUCCUUAUUUAACAUUUGAUAAACAAGAAUGAAAUGAUUCCUCAAGCGUUGUGAGCGUUAAAUGGAACGCAGCCAAAGUAUACAUACUAAUGUGGGAUCAGAUUUCAAUUCAAUCAAAUGUCACAUAUGAUAGAAAGGAUACCAUAUAUAGUUUUGAAGAUUGAGACAAUAAGCGUAUUAAUAAACCUGCAGAUCACGUAUUGGUUUUUAUGCUGUAUGGAUUGAACACAUACUAGAAGAUGCUUAUCUCGUAUAACUUUUGCGUUAAAGUGACAAACGUAUACAAUUAGUGUGCUGCAUUAAAGAACACGUGCAUGCAAUAUACGAAGCAGGCUUCCAUAUCGUAGUGACUAUCUGGAAUUUCCAAAUAUCUCUGCAAUGAAGCAGUUACUACUACAGACAGAAAUGGAAUGCCAUUUAGAAGAAAAAAUACAAGAUAAGUAAUAUCCAUUUAUAAAUGUAGUACACAACACACAAACAUCUUACGAAAUGAAUAUUUAAUUUGCAGCUCUAACUUACAUGAUCGGAAAUUACGAAAUUGCUCAUUUAUUUAAUCCUCCACAUCUAAUAAGGUGAUGGAAUAGUUUAUUGACAAAAGAUCUAGCAAGUUUACAACACAAGCCUUAAGAAACGAUAGCGAGCUAUAUUGAAACUUUCGCAAGAUUAAAAUAUAUAGCACAACAAUGGAGGACAAUAGCAUGAUUCGAAUAGAUAAAAAUGAUAUUGCAACAUCGGAAACUAUUAAUUUUGUAAUAAUCUGUUCGAUUCAGUAAACGGUACUGUGAUUAGCGCACACCAUGCAUUUUGGUGAACGCAAAAAACAUACUAAAAAAUAUGUUAUAUAGAUAUAGACAAGGCUAUAUGAAAAAUUGUUAAAACAACUAAUCCUACAUUAAAAAAUUGGCUCUUAAUCAUGAAAGGUUUCGAAAAACUAUAGACAUUGAAAUGUAAGUAUGAUUCUAUGAGUCUGAAAGCGCGUUAUUGUAAUCAGGACUCAAUAGAGAACUUUUUCGGUCAAGUGAGGAACCGUGCCAUUAGAAAAACGAAGCUAACACCUUGGCAAUUUGAAGACUCGUCUAUAACUUUAUUAGUGAACAACAUGGUCUAUUAGGAUGGUAACUG